rnacentral:rRNA from 1 species
UUAGAUCAGAAGCGAGAAUGUUGACAUGAGUAGCGACAAACAGGGUGAGAAACCCUGUCGCCGAAAGUCCAAGGGUUCCUGCUUAAAGCUAAUCUGAGCAGGGUAAGCCGGCCCCUAAGGCGAGGCCGAAAGGCGUAGUCGAUGGGAACCAGGUUAAUAUUCCUGGGCCAGUGGGAUGUGACGGAUCGCAGAUGUAGUUUGCCCUUAUCGGAUUGGGUGGGCUGCUGAGCGGUUCCAGGAAAUAGCCCCACAUCAGACCGUACCCUAAACCGACACAGGUGGACUGGUAGAGUAUACCAAGGCGCUUGAGAGAACCACGUUAAAGGAACUAGGCAAAAUGCCUCCGUAAGUUCGCGAGAAGGAGGCCCCAUAUGUACGCAAGUAUGUGUGGGGGGCACAAACUAGGGGGUGGCGACUGUUUACUUAAAACACAGGGCUGUGCGAAGCCGUAAGGCGACGUAUACAGUCUGACGCCUGCCCGGUGCUGGAAGAUUAAGAGGAGGGGUGCAAGCUCUGAAUUGAAGUCCCAGUAAACGGCGGCCGUAACCAUAACGGUCCUAAGGUAGCGAAAUUCCUUGUCGGGUAAGUUCCGACCUGCACGAAUGGCGUAACGAUCUCCCCGCUGUCUCUAACGUGGACUCAGCGAAAUUGAACUGUGUGUCAAGAUGCACACUACCCGCGGUUAGACGGAAAGACCCCAUGAACCUUUACUCCAGCUUUGCACUGGUAUCAGGAUUGUGAUGUGCAGGAUAGGUGGUAGGCAUUGAAGCGGGGACGCCAGUCUUCGUGGAGCCUCCCUUGAGAUACCACCCUUCGCCAUCUUGAUAUCUAACCGCGGCCCGUUAUCCGGGUCCGGGACCCUGCAUGGUGGGGAGUUUGACUGGGGCUGUCGCCUCCCAAACAGUAACGGAGGCGCGCGAUGGUUGGCUCAGACCGGUCGGGAAUCGGUCGUUGAGUGCAAUGGCAGAAGCCAGCCUGACUGCAAGACUGACAAGUCGAGCAGAGACGAAAGUCGGUCAUAGUGAUCCGGUGGUCCCAAGUGGGAGGGCCAUCGCUCAACGGAUAAAAGGUACUCUGGGGAUAACAGGCUGAUGAUGCCCAAGAGUCCAUAUCGACGGCAUCGUUUGGCACCUCGAUGUCGGCCCAUCUCAUCCUGGGGCUGGAGCAGGUCCCAAGGGUAUGGCUGUUCGCCAUUUAAAGAGGUACGUGAGCUGGGUUUAGAACGUCGUGAGACAGUUCGGUCCCUAUCUGCCGUGGGUGCAGGAGACUUGAGAAGAGUUGACCCUAGUACGAGAGGACCGGGUUGAACGAACCACUGGUGGACCAGUUAUCGUGCCAACGGUAGUGCUGGGUAGCUAUGUACGGACAGGAUAACCGCUGAAGGCAUCUAAGCGGGAAGCCCCCUUCAAAACAAGGUCUCCCUUGAGGGCCGUGGAAGACGACCACGUCGAUAGGCCAGAGGUGUAAGUGCAGCAAUGCAUUCAGCUGACUGGUACUAAUUGCCCGA